rnacentral:rRNA from 1 species
UACGGAGGGUGCAAGCAUUAAUCGGAUUUAUUGGGCGUAAAGGGCGCGUAGGCGGGAAAAUAAGUCCGAUGUGAAAUUCCGAAGCUCAACUUCGGAGCUGCAUUUGAAACUAUCAUUCUAAGAGGAUUGACGGAGAAAACGGAAUUCCACGUGUAGCGGUGAAAUGCGUAGAUAUGUGGAAGAACACCUGUGGCGAAAGCGGUUUUCUAGUUUAUACCUGACGCUGAGGCGCGAGAGCAAGGGGAGCAAACAGG